CGUAGGGUGCAAGCGUUGUUCGGAAUUAUUGGGCGUAAAGCGCGUGUAGGUGGCUAGUUAAGUUGGAUGUGAAAGCCCUGGGCUCAACCGAGGAAGUGCAUUCAAUACUGGCUGGCUAGAGGAUGGUAGAGGAAGGUGGAAUUCCAAGUGUAGAGGUGAAAUUCGUAGAUAUUUGGAGGAAUACCGGCGGCGAAGGCGGCCUUCUGGGCCAUUCCUGACACUGAGACGCGAAAGCGUGGGGAGCAAACAGGAUUAGAUACCCUGGUAGUCCACGCUGUAAACGAUGGGUACCAGAUGUUGCAGGAAUUGACCCCUGCAGUGUCGACGCAAACGCAUUAAGUACCCCGCCUGGGAAGUACGGUCGCAAGAUUA
rnacentral:rRNA from 1 species